AGUGAACGCUGGCGGUAGGCCUAACACAUGCAAGUCGAACGGCAGCACAGAGGAGCUUGCUCCUUGGGUGGCGAGUGGCGGACGGGUGAGGAAUACAUCGGAAUCUACUCUGUCGUGGGGGAUAACGUAGGGAAACUUACGCUAAUACCGCAUACGACCUACGGGUGAAAGCAGGGGACCUUCGGGCCUUGCGCGAUUGAAUGAGCCGAUGUCGGAUUAGCUAGUUGGCGGGGUAAAGGCCCACCAAGGCGACGAUCCGUAGCUGGUCUGAGAGGAUGAUCAGCCACACUGGAACUGAGACACGGUCCAGACUCCUACGGGGGGUAGCAGUGGGGAAUAUUGGACAAUGGGCGCAAGCCUGAUCCAGCCAUACCGCGUGGGUGAAGAAGGCCUUCGGGUUGUAAAGCCCUUUUGUUGGGAAAGAAAUCCAGCUGGCUAAUACCCGGUUGGGAUGACGGUACCCAAAGAAUAAGCACCGGCUAACUUCGUGCCAGCCGCCGCGGUAA
rnacentral:rRNA from 1 species